AGUUUUCCUUCUGCAUCUGAUAGCAGUGAUAGUGAUACAGACUAUCCAUUAAGCUGGAUAGAUUUUGUUACAAAUAAAGAAAACCUGAUAACAUUCAUAAAAGAAAUAUGUUUGAAUACUGAAUGGAACAGACCUGAACUGAAAAGAAUUCAUGCUUUAUUGUUUGGAAAGCAAACCAGAAAAAAAAUUGGGUUUGGACAGAAAGUACUCCAUCAGAAGAAUUACACUACCAGACUACCAAAUUUACUGCUUAAAGAACUUGUGAAGACCAAAAAAAGAAAAUCAAAAAUCUUCGCAAGACCAAUUCCUUUUUUCAAUUUUAAAAUCAGCCCCUACUUGGAACAAUACUUUGCCGACUUCGGGGAACAUUCAAUAUACACAUUUUUUUUUGAUAUUAUAUGUAAAGAGGCUGUAAUAUUCAUUUUAAAAUUCAAGCAAAACCUAAGCUACAUGGAAGCCAAUAAUGUAUGCAUUUCAACGGAAAAAUCAAGUAAAAAUUAAGUGGUGGAACAUUUAAAUAGAUGAAAAUGGUUCUAAAAGCACAAUAUUGUAAUAUGAAUGUGGUUGUAUAUUGCCAUCGCCCCUGACAGUCUAUCCAUCCGGUUUCCACAAAGUUAAUAUGAGAUAAAGAAACUUAUUGAUUUUCAACAAUUUUCGAUUAUUUCUGCCAGAGUUAUGGCCCUUGAUGAUUUUGAAAAUUCCUAAAUCCGAUUGACUUUAAAUUUACACACAUUAAAAAAGGUCAUGAGAUUAAGCAGCCUAUUGAUUUUCAAUGAUAUCUGAUAAUUACUGCCAGAGUUAUGGCCCUUGAUCACUUUGAAAACUCUUUGUGGAUACUCUAGAGGCUGAGUUAUUAUCCAAUUAUUACAGUUAUUACUAUGAGACAAAAAAGGCUAUUGAUUUUCAACAAUUUAUGAUAAUUACUGAAAAAUCUUGUUAUAGCUCUAGAGGCUAAAGAUAAUAUAUGAUUGUUUCCAGUGUCAUAGUAAUCGUUUGUGUAGGCCAGAACUAUUAGAAGCUAAACAAAUUCUAAUAAAUGAUUUCUAAUAAUUAGUUAAUGAGUUGUUAUUCAGAAUAAGAUUUUAAUGUCUUGUAAAAAUUUUAAUUACUUGCAAAAAAAAACCAUGUGACAAUGCUUGUUGACUGCUGGACGACGAAGCUGCUGCAUGCUUAUGUUUCGUUGCCUGGCAGCCUAUCUUUGAAAAAAUAUUGUAAUUUGUAACCAAUUAUGUUCAGUUAAAUAUGCGAACAGCUCAAAAUGAAUGCACAUUGUUUUUGACUGUUUAGUGCAUCCUACACGUUUUUUAAAAUUAUUAUUUUGUUGUUUGUGAAUUACUUCCACAUUGUGUUAUAGGAUAUGUUUUUGUGUGUACCAUUACAAAAUGGUACCCCAAGCCAUAAGGUACAUGACUCGCGUACACUACUGAUUAUAAAAUAUUAAUUGUGUCUUCAAUAUUGGAUAUUAGGAUCCUAUAUUUUCCGGCAAGAAUGAAAUUGGUCAAUAUUGAAUUCCAAUUCAUGUUUUUAAUUUAAAUAUAUGUGAGAAAAUGUCUGCUAUAAAGUUUUUUUAAUUAAAUUUGAAUAAAAACACUCUGUAAUAAUGUUUUGUAUAACUUAAGUGGUGGUGGGUAAAAGAUUAUGUUGUCCAGUGAAUAAUAAGUUGACUCAAAAUUUUAUAUGUAACAUUUGUAUCUUAAGAUUUGUUAUAUUUUCAUUUUCAUAAAUUAUAAUUCUAUAUUAAUUCCUAUACUAUAUUUGAACUAUGUAAUGUUUGUAUCUUUAAGAUUUGUUAUAUUUUUAUUUUCAUGAAGUAUAAUUCCUAUACUAUAUUUGAACUAUGUAAUGUUUGUAUCUUUAAGAUUUGUUAUAUUUUUAUUUUCAUGAAGUAUAAUUCCUAUACUAUAUUUUAACUGUGUACUUCACAUAGAUAAAUUUCAUACUGUAAAUUUAUUUCAGUAAUUUCUAUAGCUAGGGACAAAGUGAAAUUAAUGUCCUUGUGUUUUUGGAACAUGUUUUUUUAAAUUUAAAUUAUUAUUUUGUUAUUUGUGAAUGAGUCUUUACUAAUUACUUGUACCUGGUGUUGUAGGAUAUGUUUUUAUUUGUUCAUUACAAAAUGAAACCAUUGGAUAAAUAUUGGAUAGUAGGAUCAUAUCUUUUCACAUCAAUAUUGCUUGAAAUUGAUCAAUAUUGAAUUUAAGUUGUGUUUUUAAUUUCGAAAUACAGAUUUACAAUAUCAUUGUAAAAUUGUAAUGUUUGUGGUUAUUUUGUUUACAAAUGUGCUAAUUUUAGUACAUUGUUUGUCGUAUUUAAAUUUUGUAAAAUUGUUGGGGUUUUGUACUAUAUAAUUUUAAUUUAAAUUGACUUGCAACAAUUCCCAAUAAUAAGUGCCAGAGUAAUGGCCCUUAAUAUCUUCUAGAGGCUAUAGUUAAUGUCUUCUAGAGGCCAAAGUUAAUAUCCGAUUGACCUUAAAUUUAUAUGCACCGUUUAAGGUCAUGAGAUGAAGAAGCCUAUUUGCGAUAAUUACUACAGAAUGUAGUGGACGCUCUAAAGGCUAAAAGUCCAUUUCAUUCAUUCAUUCACUAAUAUAAAUUGUCAUGAGACAAUCAAUCGAAACAAAUUCAAAUGUUUUCUGAUAAUUACUUCAUUGGUUAUUACUCGUAAUCAGAUUUUCAUGUGUUGUAAAUUUCGUUGCCUGGAACCUAUCGUUAAGUAUUAUAGUUAGAACUGCCAGUUCUUUAUCUUAUCUUCCAUAAUGUAUCUUUAAGUUUUAUGCUGUACUUAAUAAAUUAAUU